rnacentral:rRNA from 1 species
AACGAACGCUGGCGGCAGGCUUAACACAUGCAAGUCGAACGGGCACCUUCGGGUGUCAGUGGCAGACGGGUGAGUAACGCGUGGGAACGUACCCUUCGGUUCGGAAUAACCCAGGGAAACUUGGGCUAACACCGGAUACGUCCGCAAGGAGAAAGAUUUAUCGCCGAAGGGUCGGCCCGCGUCGGAUUAGCUAGUUGGUGGGGUAAUGGCCCACCAAGGCGACGAUCCGUAGCUGGUCUGAGAGGAUGANCAGCCACACUGGGACUGAGACACGGCCCAGACUCCUACGGAGGCAGCAGUGGGGAAUAUUGGACAAUGGGCGAAAGCCUGAUCCAGCCAUGCCGCGUGAGUGAAGAAGGCCUUAGGGUUGUAAAGCUCUUUCAGCGGGAANAUAAUGACGGUACCCGCAGAAGAAGUCCCGGCUAACUUCGUGCCAGCAG